GAAUUCGCCCUUAGAGUUGCCUUGGCUCAGGAUGAACGCUGGCGGCGUGCCUAACACAUUCAAGUCGAACGGACGAGAUACCUUCGGGUAUCAAGUUAGUGGCGGACGGGUGAGUAAAGCAUGAGCAACUUGCCUUUCAGAGGGGGAUAACAACGUGAAAACGUUGCUAAUACCGCAUAGACAUUAGGUGGGCAUCCACCAAAUGGGAAAGCAGCAAUGCGCUGAGAGAUGGGCUCAUGUCUGAUUAGAUAGUUGGUGAGGUAACGGCCCACCAAGUCUGCGAUCAGUAGCCGGACUGAGAGGUUGAACGGCCACAUUGGAACUGAGAAACGGUCCAGACUCCUACGGGAGGCAGCAGUGGGGAAUAUUGGGCAAUGGGGGAAACCCUGACCCAGCGACGCCGCGUGAAGGAAGAAGGUCUUCGGAUUGUAAACUUCUGUUUGUGGGGACGAAGAAAGUGACAUUACCCACAGAGAAAGCCACGGCUAACUACGUGCCAGCAGCCGCGGUAAUACGUAGGUGGCAAGCGUUAUCCGGAAUUACUGGGUGUAAAGGGUGAGUAGGCGGUACGGCAAGUCUGAUGUGAAAGCCCGGGGCUCAACCCCGGGACUGCAUUGGAAACUGUCGAACUAGAGUGUCGGAGGGGUAAGUGGAAUUCCUAGUGUAGCGGUGAAAUGCGUAGAUAUUAGGAGGAACACCAGUGGCGAAGGCGGCUUACUGGACGAUAACUGACGCUGAGGCUCGAAAGCGUGGGGAGCAAACAGGAUUAGAUACCCUGGUAGUCCACGCUGUAAACGAUGA
rnacentral:rRNA from 1 species